AUGCUGUUCCUGCAACUUGUGUUGCUGGUGGUUCUCCUCUCAGGUGGUGACAGUGAAGACGACUUCCAGGAGACCUCCUUCCAAAUCAUCCUGACCACGUCUUUUUACAAUGAUUCCUGGACACAAAAACUAGGCUCAGCAUGGCUGGAUGAACUACAGACUCAUGGCUGGGACAGUGACUCUGGCAACUUCACAUGCCUGUGGCCUUGGUCCAAGGGAAACUUCAGCAACAAGUUGCUAAUGGAAGAGGAAAGGUCAUUCCAUACAUUCUCCAUUAGAUUUCCUCUGAUAUUUCAGGACCAUUUCAGUGAAUGGCAGCUUGAAUAUCCCUUUCAGGUACAGGCAGCAAAAGGCUGUGAACUGCACUUUGGGGAACCAUCAGUAGGCUUCAUGAGGAUUGCUUAUCAAGGAUCAGAUCUUGUGAUCUUCCAGAACAAGUCAUGGUGGCCAUCUCCAAAGGGAGGAAGAAGGGCUCAGCUGGUCUCCAGACUAUUCAAUCAGUACCAUGUGAUCAAUGUAAGACUACAAACACAUAUCAGUGACACUGUCCCCGUUUCCUCUUGGGUCUUCUUGAUGCAGGGAAGACACAUCUGCAGCGACAAGUGAGACCAGAGGCCUGGCUGUCCACUGGCCCCAGUCCAGGUCCUGGCCAUCUGCUGCUGGUGUGCCAUGUCUCUGGCUUCUACCCAAAGCCUGUGUGGGUGAUGUGGAUGCGGGGUGAGCAGGAGCAACAGGGCACCCAGCGAAGAGAUGUUCUGCCCCAUGCUGAUGGGACGUGGUAUCUUCAGGUGUCCUUGGAUGUGAAAGCCAUAGAGGCUUCUGGCCUGUCAUGCUUGGUGAGACACAGCAGUCUAGGAGGCCAGGACAUGGUCCUUUACUGGGAAAAGCAUCAACCCAUAGGCUUGGUCUUCCUGGAAGUGAUAGUGCCCCUGGUGCUUCUGGGAGUUCUCACCUUGUGGCUCUGGAAACACAGGAAAACACACUGGAGACCUCAAUGCACUGGCCUCCCACUGGAAUGAGAAAUCAGCAGCCCAGGGACCAGGACAUACUUAAACCCAGCUCAGCAGUGAUGUCUUUGCAACCCUUUCUGUGCAACUUUUAUGUUUCAUUCGUGCUUAAUGAUCAGUUGGCAAUUUAAGCCCAGUGUAAUUUAGCUGGAUUUGUUUUUCUGACUUGGUUUGCAACUUAAUCUCAAAACUGAACUCAGAGUAAAAUGAAUUACCAGUGACCUCUAUGGGUCACGAGAAUCAGAUAUCACUUCCUCCAGUGAGAAUUCCCCGAUUCACAAGUAGAUUCAGUAUCCUUUGUGAGACUACCACUACCUUGACCUCCACUUUGGCUAAUCUGUUCCUGCCCCCAAACCCUUGUUGGUCCCAUUAGGUUCCUUUUGCUUUCUAACUCUUAGGCCUUUUGAGAACAAUGUCCAUGUCUUUUAAAUAUUUCC